UCCCCUCUACCUCCAUGGCUUCAGGCACCAUCACCAGAAUGUCACUCCUGCAUCCUCACCUGCCUCCUAGAUCAGCUUUACCGGGAAUCCAACUGCACACUCGCCACACACACACAAGAUCGGGCUCACUGUCUUAUUCCAAAGCAACUGCCCUUCCUCCAUUCUCUCUCUUGAGGAGUGUUUCCGAAGCCUCCAGCAUCACCUGGUCUCCCAGAUGAAACCUGAGGGUCGGACUCUCCAUGUGAGUCCCUUGAAGCAGAAAGGAAGACACAGAACCUAUGACCAUGCCUUGGCGCACACGCUGUACCCAGUACUCAGCAAGUGACAUGACAGAGCUCGUGGUUGAGCUCCUCCUCCUGCUCUCAUCUUUGGCAUCACCGGAGAACACAGAGGUGAGACCAUAAAAUCUAUGUCUUGGGACUUCCCUGGCGGUCCAGUGGUAAAGAAUCCGCUUUCCAAUGCAGGGGAUGCGGGUUCGAUCCCUGGUCGGGGAACUAAGAUCCCACAUGCCUCGGGGCAACUAAGCCUGUGCGCCACAACUACUGAGCUUGUGCGCCUCAAAGAGAGAGCCCACGCGCUGCAAACUACAGAGCCCACGCACCCUGGAGCCCGCACUACACAACUAGAGAGAGAAAAACCCGCAUGCCACAGCUAAAGAGAAGCCCGUGUGCUGCAACGAAAGAACCCGCAGGCCUCAACCAAGAUCCCGCGUGCCUCAACUAAGACCUGACGCAGCCAAAUAAAUAAACAAAUAUUAAAAAAAAAAAA